rnacentral:rRNA from 1 species
AGACUCCUACGGGAGGCAGCAGUGGGGAAUAUUGGACAAUGGGCGAAAGCCUGAUCCAGCCAUGCCGCGUGUGUGAAGAAGGCCUUUUGGUUGUAAAGCACUUUAAGCGAGGAGGAGGCUACUUGGAUUAAUACUCUAGGAUAGUGGACGUUACUCGCAGAAUAAGCACCGGCUAACUCUGUGCCAGCAGCCGCGGUAAUACAGAGGGUGCGAGCGUUAAUCGGAUUUACUGGGCGUAAAGCGUGCGUAGGCGGCUUUUUAAGUCGGAUGUGAAAUCCCUGAGCUUAACUUAGGAAUUGCAUUCGAUACUGGGAAGCUAGAGUAUGGGAGAGGAUGGUAGAAUUCCAGGUGUAGCGGUGAAAUGCGUAGAGAUCUGGAGGAAUACCGAUGGCGAAGGCAGCCAUCUGGCCUAAUACUGACGCUGAGGUACGAAAGCAUGGGGAGCAAACAGGAUUAGAUACCCUGGUAGUCCAUGCCGUAAACGAUGUCUACUAGCCGUUGGGGCCUUUGAGGCUUUAGUGGCGCAGCUAACGCGAUAAGUAGACCGCCUGGGGAGUACGGUCGCAAGACUAAAACUUAAAUGAAUUGACGGGGGCAAGGGCGAAUUCUGCAGAUAUCCAUCACACUGGCGGCCGCUCGAGCAUGCUCUAGAGGGCCCAAUUCGCCCUAUA